rnacentral:rRNA from 1 species
UACGGAGGGUGCGAGCGUUAUCCGGAAUUACUGGGUUUAAAGGGUGCGUAGGCGGCCUUGUAAGUCAGGAGUGAAAGUUUGCGGCUCAACCGUAAAAUUGCUUUUGAUACUGCGAGGCUAGAAUUAGGAUGAGGUCAGCGGAAUGUGGCAUGUAGCGGUGAAAUGCAUAGAUAUGCCAUAGAACACCAAUUGCGAAGGCAGCUGGCUAGACCUGGAUUGACGCUGAGGCACGAAAGCGUGGGGAGCGAACAGG